rnacentral:rRNA from 1 species
AAAACUUUCAAACAACGGAUCUCUUGGUUCUGCAUCGAUGAAGAACGCAGCGAACUGCGAUAAGUAUGCGAAUUGCAGAAUUCAGCGAGCCAUCGAAUCUUUGAACGCACAUUGCGCCCGCCAGCAUUCUGGCGCAUGCCUGUCCGAGCGUCAUUU